GUUAAGACCCCAACCAAUCAAAUGCUCAAGUGUGGGAAUUUUGAAGCCCCUAUAAAAGGGGGCACUCAUCAAUAAACUCCGGGUGUUGUUGCAUGAGCUCGGUGUGUUUGGUUGUGUGCCUGACUCCAAAACUGCAACAGCGUGCAGCUCACCUGCAGCCAGCCCUUCAGUCCGUGCAGCUGCUUCAGGCUUUCCAUCUGCCUGUGCACACUGCAGGAGCAGGAGCCUGACCCCCCCAGCCACCCUGGAUGCAGGCUCCAGCUGCCACCUCAAGGACGGACACCCAGGGUGAACGGAAGAGCCCGAGCCUGUGGCGCUCAAGAGACACGUCAGGAGGAAUGAUGGGACAGGCCAGCAGUGAUGAGGAGACAGAUGUCUGCCCCAUCUCCUCAGGCUGCUUCCUGCUGGAUCUGCUCCCACACACACUUCUCAGUGUGGAGAAGACCCCACCACAGCCUGGUCUCAUUGGGAUACAGAAAGACGGGGUCAGCUGAGAGAUGUUAUAAAAGGUGUUUUAUUGCAUAGUCAGUCUCACAGAAAGGUGAGACUUUUAAGGUGUUACAUUCAACACCAUCAAAUCAGAGGCUGUCUUAAUUCUAGUUACAAUGUCUUUUAUAAAUUUCUUAGCCAAUCAACAACUUACAUAAAGCUCGCUAGCAUCUUCAUAAACCAAUCACUAAUUGCUUUUUCUCACACCAUUCUACUGCAAUGCAUCUUUUCUUAUCCCAUCAUAUAACACUACAGAAACUUACAUUGCUACAUCUUUAAUUUCUAACUAGCUUUAUAAAAAGUUCUACUGCUAGACUUUAAAAUUUUCUGUAUCUUGCUUAAAAUAUUUAUUUGCUUACAUGAGGCAUAUUUCUGCUUGCUUAAAACACAUUUCUGCUUAAACUAUAAACUUCUAUUCUCACUUCA